rnacentral:rRNA from 1 species
AGUGAACGCUGGCGGCGUGCUUAACACAUGCAAGUCGAACGAGAACGGGUUAUAGCUUGCUAUAAUUGUCAGCUAAGUGGCGCACGGGUGAGUAAUGUAUAGGUAAUAUGCCUCUUACUAAGGGAUAACAAAUGGAAACGUUUGCUAAUACCUUAUACUCCUUAUUCACUUAAGUUAAUAAUGUAAAGAUUUAUUGGUAAGAGAUUAGCCUGUAUUGUAUCAGUUAGUUGGUGGGGUAAUGGCUUACCAAGACUAUGACACAUAACUGGUUUGAGAGGAUGAUCAGUCACACUGGAACUGAGACACGGUCCAGACUCGUACGGGAGGCAGCAGUGGGGAAUAUUGCAAAAUGGACGAAAGUCUGAUGCAGCAACGCCGCGUGGAGGAUGACACAUUUCGGUGCGUAAACUCCUUUUAUAUGAGAAGAUAAUGACGGUAUUAUAUGAAUAAGCACCGGCUAACUCCGUGCCAGCAGCCGCGGUAA